UACGUAGGGGGCAAGCGUUGUCCGGAUUUAUUGGGCGUAAAGAGCGUGUAGGCGGCUAGGUAGGUCCGUUGUGAAAACUCGAGGCUCAACCUCGAGACGCCGGUGGAAACCAUCUAGCUAGAGUCCGGAAGAGGAGAGUGGAAUUCCUGGUGUAGCGGUGAAAUGCGCAGAUAUCAGGAGGAACACCAAUGGCGAAGGCAGCUCGCUGGGACGUGACUGACGCUGAGACGCGAAAGCGUGGGGAGCAAACAGG
rnacentral:rRNA from 1 species